AGUCUUUGAAGUAAUGUUACGUAAUAAUUUUAACGAGCAAGCCAACAAAUAUCGUCACAUUCACUUGGUGAUAAAAGAUGUUAUCAUUUUCACAAACUCCUUGACCACUGGUUUAGUGAAGGAAAACCUGCUUUUGAUUUUCGAAGCCAUUUACUAGUGUCAUUACCAAAUAACUGAUUAUUUUAUGUUUUGGUUAAAAGUUGUAAUUUUUAUGCGCCAUUAAAGCAAAGCACUUAAUUCCCACGGUUACUCAACGGAAGAAAUAUUUGGGUGACCAUUUUUUCCAGUUUGUCCUAGUAUGUGAAAUUGGACUCAGAUCUUUGGCGGAAUUGCAGCGCGGUUUCGUCUUGAUUGAAAAAAAUCCAAAUCUUUAGUACGUGGAAUCAAUCGACAGAGGCCGGAUUGGUCAUUCUGGGCGCCUCAAUCAUUUCGUCCAGGGCAAUAAAAUUGCCAGCGAAUGUCCCAAAUGCCCGGAUCUUUGUCCAACUGAUGGUGAUGGACGAAAACUUGUUGGAGCAAUGACGACUGCCAAAAAGGUAAGGUUUUUUUGAAUACCAAUCAAUACCCAUCUGAGCUUUUAGCCAAAUGAUUAAGUCUCUCAUUACCAAAAAUGGGAAUAAACUGGUUCAUAAUGUCAGGAAAAAGCACGGGGUCAGUAAAGGACCAUAGAAGUCGAGGAAUUCGGCAUCUCGUUUUUUUUUUCUUUGGGGAGAGGGGUCCUUGGGAACCAUUGGGAAAUCAAAUGCCAAUAAAAGCUGUCAAUAUCAUAGUCAAUUUAGUUGUUGUGCGAAAGGCCUUGGUACUCCAAUCGGUCGUGACUUGGAUUUCCUCUUGUUGAUUGAUCAUAUGUCUUUUAUAAGAAAAUGGCAAAAAUCUGGUUUUUAAUUGUUCCUCUCACUCCUUUUGUGUUUUGACUUUUAAACGAGAAAAAAAAAUCUAUUGAACACCAUUGAUUUGUCUGUCGUAUGCGACCAAUGUGGCCAAUGUGGCCAAGGCGGCAGUGAGGCAUGCAGGAUGGUUCCGCGAUGACCAUUUUCAACGAAGAAUACCCGUAUGUCGAAUUGAAAACUGGAAAUUGUUUUAUAAAACGAAACAACGCAUUUUGGUGCAGCAAUGUCAUCUUAGUUUUGGGGAGGAGAGGAAACAAAACAAUGAGUUACAAUUUUACUUAUA